CAAGCACUUUUUCAGGCUCUUAGUAUUCAGUGAAACCUUUAUAUCCCUUUACAGUCCUCAGUCUUCAGGAAAAGUAGAAUGGACUAAAAGUCUUUUAAAAACACACCUCACCAAGCUCAGCCACCAACUUAAAAAAGACUAGACAAUACUUAUACCACUUUCCCUUCUCAGAAUUCAGGCCUGUCCUCAGAAUGCUACGAAGUACAGCCCAUUUAAGCUCCUGUAUAGAUGCUCCUUUUUAUUAGGCCCCAGUCUCAUCCCAAAUACCAGACAAACUUAGACUGUGCCCCAAAAAACUUGUCAUCCCUUCUAUCUUCUAUCUAGUCAUACUCCUAUUCACCGUUCUCAACUUUUUCAGGCUCUUAGUAUUCAGUGAAACCUUUAUAUCCCUUUACAGUCCUCAGUCUUCAGGAAAAGUA
rnacentral:lncRNA from 1 species